rnacentral:lncRNA from 1 species
UGGUGGAACAUUCAAGUGUGACUCCACAGCAGAAAUUACCCCCAACCAGAUGAGGUGACUGGGGAUGCACUGUAUGAUGUUUCACCCGGUUGUGUAAAGGCAUAUAUGUUCAUAGAGUCGCAAACACUGUGCUACUGUGCUGAGUGAGAUGUAAAGAGUCAUAACCUGUAGUGUAGAUUAAGACUUAGUAGGUAAUAUCUGAU